CGAUUCCUCCAAAGUUCAGUCCCUGUGGCUGCACAACUAGUUAGUGGAGUCGAGCCCGCGAGCGGAGAUGGACCCCUGCCUUGCUCAGCGUCCAGACCCGCAGGCGUGCACCAUCCCCGCUUUCUUUUCUCCUCCCAGCUGGAGGUGAAAAGCGCCCUCAGUCCGGGGACUGGGUGGCAGCAGGGUAAACAGCAAGACGAAACCCACCCAGGCAGCUCUUCCGACUCCCAGAGGAGCGACACCUCUUCCGCGGUCCCCGACAGCGGCCGCUCAGGGUCCGAGGGACAGCGGCAGAGGAGCGGCGCGGGGCCGCGGCUCGCCCUGGCCACGGAGGACCGGACCUGUUGCGCCUCUACGAGUUUGCCUUAUUUCAACCUACUCGGCGUCUUUCGGCACGCCGACCUGUUUCCCACCUGCAUCCAGUGCAAGGCAAAAGGCUGUGAGAGCACGCUAGAGCGCAGCGCGAAAUGGGCGGCUAAGCGCGAGAAGAGAGAGGAAAACGAGGUAAACCCAAGGAGCAAAUGCUAGUCGCGAGGCCGAAAUCGCUACUGCCCGAAGGAUCUCCGCAGCCCCGCGAGCGCGAUCCUUAAAUACCGUCCGGGAUGCUGGUGUGAGUGUGUGAGUGCGCGCGCGCUCCGAGCACGACGUCCCUCCCCCGACCCCCUCCUGGAGCCCGUGGUCCGGCCCGCCGCUCUCGCUGCUGCGCGCCCCCCUUCCCCAGCCAAAGCCCGAGCCUGCCUCAUUAUCAUAAUGUAUUCACCUUGGCCCAGCCCUCAGGCCGACCCAGGGGAUUUUCCCCCCCCCCCCCCCCCCACGGGGCGGGAAGAUUGGGUGGGAGCGGAGCAGGAGGUCUGUGAUUAGCAUAAUACAUGCAAAUAGCGGGAGCGGCCACCGUGAUUGGAGAGGAGCCUGGCGACCCCUCCUCCUGCGUUGCGCGGAGUAACUUCAGCGUCCCCGAAGGCCACCUCUCUGGCCUCGGCCAGGGGCCGAAGCGGGGUCCGCUGCGCAGGAGGCGGCAACUUUGGCUGAUGCUGACUCAGCCCAGCGCCCCCUCUUUAUCCCACUUAAAAACGGAGAAAUGGCCUCCGAGAGGAAGAAGUGAAACAGAACGCUCUAUCCUUCUGAUCUUCACUCAAAAGCAGCCGCAGGAGCUCUUGCUAUCUCGCUCUGGUGCAGCGUUUUUCCCUCCUCCCCCACUUUCCCACAUGCCCAGAGGCAAAGUGGCUGGCCAACGUCUGAGGAGGAAAGAAGUCGCUGGGUGCCACCCUCUCCAUCUCACCAAACUACAAAAGUGAAGAAGCCACUGGGAGCCACUCGCUCUCACUCGCCAAAUCAUGGGAUUAAAGAAGCUGCAACAUUUCUGGGGGCUCGUCCAGGUCCUCAGAAGGGUGGGUAAGAGCAGACCCAUGACCCUUUACUUUCAUUUCUGAGGAGUCUCAUCCUCACAUUUUUUUAAAAAACAGGUAAAAC
ensembl:lncRNA